UACGUAGGGAGCGAGCGUUGUCCGGAAUUACUGGGUGUAAAGGGAGCGCAGGCGGGAUUGCAAGUCAGGUGUGAAAUGCAGGGGCUCAACCCCUGAGUUGCACUUGAAACUGUAGUUCUUGAGUGAAGUAGAGGUAAGCGGAAUUCCUAGUGUAGCGGUGAAAUGCGUAGAUAUUAGGAGGAACAUCGGUGGCGAAGGCGGCUUACUGGGCUUUUACUGACGCUGAAGCUCGAAAGCGUGGGGAG
rnacentral:rRNA from 1 species